AUUCCAUGGUGGGGAUAUUUUCUUAACAACUCCCUAAACCUCUCCCACGCAUCAUACAAUGACUCACCACCUCUUUGGUGAAAUUUUUUGAUUUCACCUCUAUACCU